rnacentral:antisense_RNA from 1 species
CUUCACCGAACCGAGCCACAACGGCGUCUCGCGGUCCCGACCGUAGGUCGCCAGCAGCGCCUGCGCCUC